AGCAGCCGCGGUAAUUCCAGCUCCAAUAGCGUAUAUUAAAGUUGUUGCAGUUAAAAAGCUCGUAGUUGAAUUUCGGGAUCAAUAUUUCGGUCAUGCCGUUGGUAUGCACUGUUAUCAUUGAUUUCUCACCUUCUAAAGAACCGUAAUGCCAUUAAUUUGGUGUUACGGGGAAUUAGGACUGUUACCUUGAAAAAUUGAGUGUUUAAAGCAGGCUCACGCUUGAAUACAUUAGCAUGGAAUAAUGAAAUAGGACAUCCGAUUCUAUUUUGUUGGUUUCUAGGAUCGAUGUAAUGAUUAAUAGGGAUAGUUGGGGGCAUUAGUAUUCAAUUGUCAGAGGUGAAAUUCUUGGAUUUAUUGAAGACUAACUACUGCGAAAGCAUUUGCCAAGGAUGUUUUCAUUAAUCAAGAACGAAAGUUAGGGGGAUCGAAGACGAUCAGAUACCGUCGUAGUCUUAACCAUAAAACUAUGCCGACUAGGGAUCGGAUGAUGUUAAUUUUAAUG
rnacentral:rRNA from 1 species